rnacentral:misc_RNA from 1 species
UCUCCGUAGGUGAACCUGCGGAGGGAUCAUUACUGAGUGAGGGCCCUCGCGGUCCGACCUCCAACCCCAUGUUGUCCGACUCUGUUGCCUCGGGGGCGACCCGGCCUCACGGCUGCGGGCCCCCGGAGCCCAUCAAACCCUGCGUAACUAAGUCGUCGGAGUUUAAACAAAUUAAACAAAACUUUCAACAACGGAUCUCUUGGUUCGGGCAUCGAUGAAGAACGCAGC